CCUUUAACACUAUUCACAGACCAGCAUCUCUCUCUCAUCUGUCUUUGCAUCUGUCUGUCUGUCUGUCUCUCUAUUGUUAUCUCCUUUCACAUGACACUACACUCUGUAAAACCCCCGUUGGAGAUGAGGCUGCUUCCUGUUAAAUGAUCCUGGCGUCUGGCAUGUAAAGACAACUGCGAACAAAGUAGUAUGUCCUGCAGUAAAGAUACAUAAAAGUCAUAAAAUACCAGAACAGCGGUUGGGGGGAGGGGGGUUGCAUGUGUAUGAGUGGGAGAAGAGGGUGGUGAGUUUCGCCAUGUGCUGUUUCUCCCCAGAUCUGUUUUUUAAAAGUCACUUCAGGCCCUUUGGCCAAUCUGCACUUAAUUACCUGUUCCUGCCCUAUUUCCCAGGCAGCCAACCAGUGCGGCCAGGCUAUUCCCCAUUCCCUCUGUGAGGCCCGUCUCUGGGGCUCAGCUGAUGCAUUACAAAUGCCUUGUGGACUGCAUCUGAUGGGAUUUUCCCUAAGUGGUCAGGAUGCCAACCACAGUCCUGAUCGUUUUAAAUGGCUUGCGAUCCUCAGAUGUGGAGAUGCUCAUUAGUGGCCGCAGGAGCCCGCUAUCAUGAACAGGUUGAACCAAGGAGCUCUGUCAACCUGAGCAUUAAUAGGAGUAAGCGUGUCAAUAAAAGUUCCCAAGAUGAAGCCAUAGAAUGAGGCACUUAAGGACAAUUAUAAACAUUUUGCCCUGUGGUGACUCUCCCCUAUCAAACCUACUCCUAGCCUGAUAAGCACUGCCUCUUUAGGGAUCAUUAAUUUCCUUGAAAAUUUAAACAGCUGUCACUUGUGAUCCUCCUCAGGUGCUCAUGUGGGAGAGAUUAGACUAUGUUUAUAAGCCAGUCUGUUCAUUAAGCGCCUGCCCAUGUGGAACCCCCUCCACAGGCCUGCAGAUCACCCACAGAUAAUUGGGGGCCAUGGCAAAUUACACAGAGGCGCUGCAGGCAGCAAGAAUGGUGUGGCCUUAUUAAUAUCAGUGUGUGAGAUCUUAGUUCCCCGAUCAGAGAUUGAAUCCAUGCCCCCUGGAUUGGAAGCACAGAAUCUCAACCACUGGACCACCAGGGAAGUCCUGACACCCUAUAUCUUGAAAGUAGAAACGUAAGGAUCUGAGAGUUGGACCAGAAAGAAGGCUGAACACUGAAGAACUGAUGCUUUCGAACUGUGGUGUUGAAGAAGACUCUUGAGAGUCCCUUGAACAGCAGGGAGGUCAAGCCAGUUAAUCCUAAGGGAAAUCAGUACUGAAUAUGCAUUGCAAGGACUGAUGCUGAGGUUGAAGCUCCAAUCCUUUGGCCACCUGAUGCUAAGAGCUGGCUCAUUGGAAAAGACCGUGAUGCUGGGAAAGAUUGAAGGCAGGAGUUGCAGACUCUAAAUUCUAACUCUGCUUCCCUGGUGGCUCAGAUGGCAAAGAAUCUGCCUGCAACGUGGGAGACCUGGGUUUGAUCCCUGGAAGAUCCCCUUGAGAAGGAAAUGGCAACCCACUCCAGGAUUCUUGCCUGGAGAACCUCCAUGGACAGAGGAGCCUGGCAGACUACAGUCCAUGGGGUUGCAAAGAGUUGGACACAACUGAGCAACUAAGCACAGUACAGCU
ensembl:lncRNA